rnacentral:rRNA from 1 species
GUGUGAUUCAUGACUGGGGUGAAGUCGUAACAAGGUAACCGUAGGGGAACCUGCGGUUGGAUCACCUCCUUACCUUAAAGAAGC